rnacentral:rRNA from 1 species
GUGGGUGAUCUGCCCUGCACUUUGGGAUAAGCCUGGGAAACUGGGUCUAAUACCGAAUACACCUCUUGGGUUGCAUGACUCUUGGGGGAAAGCUUUUGCGGUGUGGGAUGGGCCCGCGGCCUAUCAGCUUGUUGGUGGGGUGAUGGCCUACCAAGGCGACGACGGGUAGCCGGCCUGAGAGGGUGUCCGGCCACACUGGGACUGAGAUACGGCCCAGACUCCUACGGGAGGCAGCAGUGGGGAAUAUUGCACAAUGGGCGCAAGCCUGAUGCAGCGACGCCGCGUGGGGGAUGACGGCCUUCGGGUUGUAAACCUCUUUCAGCACAGACGAAGCGCAAGUGACGGUAUGUGCAGAAGAAGCACCGGCCAACUACGUGCCAGCAGCCGCGGUAAUACGUAGGGUGCGAGCGUUGUCCGGAGUUACUGGGCGUAAAGAGCUC